rnacentral:rRNA from 1 species
ACCGGGAUUGCCUCAGUAACGGCGAGUGAAGCGGCAAGAGCUCAAAUUUGAAAUCUGGCCCCUUCCCCGGGGUCCGAGUUGUAAUUUGGAGAGGAUGCUUCGGGUCCGGUCCCGGUCCAAGUGCCCUGGGAUGGGCUGUCGGAGAGGGUGAGAAUCCCGUCUGCGACCGGUGGCUGGGCCUGGGUGAAGCUCCCUCGACGAGUCGAGUUGUUUGGGAAUGCAGCUCUAAAUGGGUGGUAAAUUUCAUCUAAAGCUAAAUAUGGGCCGGAGACCGAUAGCGCACAAGUAGAGUGAUCGAAAGAUGAAAAGCACUUUGGAAAGAGAGUCAAACAGCACGUGAAAUUGUUGAAAGGGAAGCGCUUGCGAUCAGACUCGCCCGGGGAGGUUCAGCCGUGCACUUGUGCCGGUGCAUUCCUGCCCGGGCGGGCCAGCGUCGGUUUGGACGGCCCGUCAAAGCCCCCCGGAAGGUAGCGCCCCGCAUGGGGCGUCUUAUAGCCGGGGGUGUCAUGCGGCCUGUCUGGACCGAGGAACGCGCCUUCGGGCUCGGACGCUGGCGUAAUGGUCGUAAGCGGCCCGUCUUGAAACACGGACCAAGGAGUCUAACAUCCACGCGAGUGUUCGGGUGUUCAAAACCCGUCCGCGCAGUGAAAGCGAACGGAGGUGGGAACCCUCUCCCCGGGGGGCGCACCAUCGACCGAUCCUGAUGUCUUCGGAUGGAUUUGAGUAGGAGCGUGGCUGUUGGGACCCGAAAGAUGGUGAACUAUGCCUGAAUAGGGUGAAGCCAGAGGAAACUCUGGUGGAGGCUCGCAGCGGUUCUGACGUGCAAAUCGAUCGUCAAAUUUGGGUAUAGGGGCGAAAGACUAAUCGAACCAUCUGGUAGCUGGUUCCUGCCGAAGUUUCCCUCAGGAUAGCAGUAACGAGAUCAGUUUUAUGAGGUAAAGCGAAUGAUUAGAGGCCUUGGGGUUGAAACAACCUUAACCUAUUCUCAAACUUUAAAUAUGUAAGAAGCCCUUGUUGCUUAGUUGAACGUGGGCGCUGGAAUGGAUCGUUACUAGUGGGCCAUUUUUGGUAAGCAGAACUGGCGAUGCGGGAUGAACCGAACGCGAGGUUAAGGUGCCGGAAUGCACGCUCAUCAGACACCACAAAAGGUGUUAGUUCAUCUAGACAGCCCGACGGUGGCCAUGGAAGUCGGAAUCCGCUAAGGAGUGUGUAACAACUCACGGGCCGAAUGAACUAGCCCUGAAAAUGGAUGGCGCUCAAGCGUGCUACCCAUACCUCGCCGUCGGGGUAGCAACGAUGCCCCGACGAGUAGGCAGGCGUGGGGGUCGGUGA